rnacentral:ribozyme from 13 species
UCCUUCCCUUUUUUUCUUUCCUUCUUUUCCCGCCUUUUGCCCCUUCUCUUUUUCUUUGUUAGCUUCUUGAGCCCAAAGAGAGAGAAACGUUUGAGAGAGGGAGAGAGCAAGAGAGGGAGUCCAUUUUUUUUGGAGUUUGAGUGUUUGUUCAUAGACUUUUAGAGCUCUU